rnacentral:rRNA from 1 species
AGUGAACGCUGGCGGUAGGCCUAACACAUGCAAGUCGAACGGCAGCACAGUAAGAGCUUGCUCUUACGGGUGGCGAGUGGCGGACGGGUGAGGAAUACAUCGGAAUCUACUUUUUCGUGGGGGAUAACGUAGGGAAACUUACGCUAAUACCGCAUACGACCUACGGGUGAAAGCAGGGGAUCUUCGGACCUUGCGCGAUUGAAUGAGCCGAUGUCGGAUUAGCUAGUUGGCGGGGUAAAGGCCCACCAAGGCGACGAUCCGUAGCUGGUCGGAGAGGAUGGUCGGCCACACUGGAACUGAGACACGGUCAAGACUCCUACGGGAGGCAGCAGUGGGGAAUAUUGGACAAUGGGCGCAAGCCUGAUCCAGCCAUACCGCGUGGGUGAAGAAGGCCUUCGGGUUGUAAAGCCCUUUUGUUGGGAAAGAAAAGCAGCAGGUUAAUACCCCGCUGUUCUGACGGUACCCAAAGAAUAAGCACCGGCUAACUUCGUG